rnacentral:lncRNA from 1 species
GUCAAAUGUGGAGCCACAGCAUCAGGUUCCCAGGGGCCUGUGUUUCACCCAGGGGUCAGCAACCCUCCCGUGUCGCCGAGGAAACCCCCCGCGCCUCCUCUCACCCAGGGCCUCUUUUCCAGGUUAACUUCCUGCAGAAGCGGGCGUCUGUCCUACAGGAUGAGCUGACUGCCUACCAAAGCAGAAGGUGACCGUGUGGAGGCCCCCCGCGUCACCCCGGAGAGGGCGGUGGAUCCAGCCGUCCCAGCUGCACCACAGAUUUCUUCCAGCAGGUUUGAAGAUUCGGAUAUUAUUUCAGUAAACUGUGAGACCAGUGGCAUUUUUUGACACUUAAAUGUAAUUAAGAUCAUAAAAACGUCCAUCACUCAUACGGCAAUGGCUGCUUUUGUGUGUCUGCCUUUUUUUUUAAUGUUCCUUUGUUUCCACUUUCCAUAUUUGUGUGCAUUUGAGUGCGUCCUGAGAACUGCUGGUUUGGAAGAAAGAAAUGAACCGUCGCAAUGCCUCAUGGAUGCCUUUGCAUAGAAUUUACCAGUUGCCACUGCUCCAGAUCACGUUUGUAGCAUGUCAGUGUUUUUAAUGUGUUUGCAUUAUCUUCAUGUUCAUAUAGUAUUAAACUAUUAUUUUGUACUUAUCGAUUUUAUUUCUACAUUUUUAUUGCACCUCA